GAAUAGCAAACAAAGAAGUAAUCAAUAUUGUCAAGUUAUAAACAAUACUGUCAAGAAAAGUACAGCAAGACAUUUUUCAGUUCCAGGAACUUCCAGUAUUUUGUCUAUCAUGAGAAACCCCAAGCACUCAAAGAGAUGUAUGACAACAAGUGGCAUACAUAACUCGGGCUUAAAAGGAGCAUCAUAAAUAUAACAAUCAUAAACUACUUCCAUCCAAGAAAAAUAUUUUUCAGCCACAACUAAUCCCAUCACACAUUUGGAAAACAGUCAAGAAAAUGAGGGGAUAAGUAACAGUAUUUUCAUGAGUGACUCAAAGUGUAAAUCCAAAGAAAUAAUUUAAUAGAAAUGGUUGAAACACAAGUGUAAAAACAGAAGGAGAAGCACAUGGAAAAGGGUAGAGCAAUGUCGUUCUGACCAAUCAAGAUUAGACAUUGAUAGAAUCCAUGGAAGACAACAAACUUACAAAGAUCCAACUCAACUGACAAGAUCGCGAGCAAAUAUGAUCAAUGAAGAUAUGCAUUUACUUGUUCAAGUUACAGAGGCCAAGAGUUUGAAGUUAACAAGCCAAACACCAAGUUUCAUGUUGGACAUGAAGGUUGAAACAAGUUGGAUGCAUUGGAAUCAAGAAAAAAAUUGGAAGCUAUAGUAUAAAAACGAGAUGCUAUCACAUGUACUAUUCUCAAUACAAAAAAAUGGAAUUUUUGUUGUUCUAUGCAGUCAUGGGAGUUAUAACCAUGCAAUCAUACAGUUAAUUUUCUGGA